rnacentral:rRNA from 1 species
AGUGAACGCUGGCGGUGGGCCUAACACAUGCAAGUCGAACGGCAGCACAGUAAGAGCUUGCUCUUACGGGUGGCGAGUGGCGGACGGGUGAGGAAUACAUCGGAAUCUACUUUUUCGUGGGGGAUAACGUAGGGAAACUUACGCUAAUACCGCAUACGACCUACGGGUGAAAGCAGGGGAUCUUCGGACCUUGCGCGAUUGAAUGAGCCGAUGUCGGAUUAGCUAGUUGGCGGGGUAAAGGCCCACCAAGGCGACGAUCCGUAGCUGGUCUGAGAGGAUGAUCAGCCACACUGGAACUGAGACACGGUCCAGACUCCUACGGGAGGCAGCAGUGGGGAAUAUUGGACAAUGGGCGCAAGCCUGAUCCAGCCAUACCGCGUGGGUGAAGAAGGCCUUCGGGUUGUAAAGCCCUUUUGUUGGGAAAGAAGAGCAGCAGGUUAAUACCCCGCUGUUCUGACGGUACCCAAAGAAUAAGCACCGGCUAACUUCGUG